rnacentral:rRNA from 1 species
AGAGUUUGAUCCUGGCUCAGGAUGAACGCUGGCGGCGUGCUUAACACAUGCAAGUCGAACGAUGAUCCGGUGCUUGCACCGGGGAUUAGUGGCGAACGGGUGAGUAACACGUGAGUAACCUGCCCUUAACUCUGGGAUAAGCCUGGGAAACUGGGUCUAAUACCGGAUAUGACUCCUCAUCGCAUGGUGGGGGGUGGAAAGCUUUAUUGUGGUUUUGGAUGGACUCGCGGCCUAUCAGCUUGUUGGUGAGGUAAUGGCUCACCAAGGCGACGACGGGUAGCCGGCCUGAGAGGGUGACCGGCCACACUGGGACUGAGACACGGCCCAGACUCCUACGGGAGGCAGCAGUGGGGAAUAUUGCACAAUGGGCGCAAGCCUGAUGCAGCGACGCCGCGUGAGGGAUGACGGCCUUCGGGUUGUAAACCUCUUUCAGUAGGGAAGAAGCGAAAGUGACGGUACCUGCAGAAGAAGCGCCGGCUAACUACGUGCCAGCAGCCGCGGUAAUACGUAGGGCGCAAGCGUUAUCC